rnacentral:rRNA from 1 species
GACGAACGCUGGCGGCGUGCCUAAUACAUGCAAGUCGAACGAGAGCAACCGGUGCUUGCACUGGUCAAUCUAGUGGCGAACGGGUGAGUAACACGUGGGUAACCUGCCCAUCAGAGGGGGAUAACAUUCGGAAACGGAUGCUAAAACCGCAUAGGUCUUCGAACCGCAUGGUUUGGAGAGGAAAAGAGGCGCAAGCUUCUGCUGAUGGAUGGACCCGCGGUGCAUUAGCUAGUUGGUGAGGUAACGGCUCACCAAGGCCGUGAUGCAUAGCCGACCUGAGAGGGUGAUCGGCCACAUUGGGACUGAGACACGGCCCAAACUCCUACGGGAGGCAGCAGUAGGGAAUCUUCCGCAAUGGACGCAAGUCUGACGGAGCAACGCCGCGUGAGUGAAGAAGGUUUUCGGAUCGUAAAACUCUGUUGUUAGAGAAGAACAAGUGCUAGAGUAACUGUUAGCGCCUUGACGGUAUCUAACCAGAAAGCCACGGCUAACUACGUGCCAGCAGCCGCGGUAAUACGUAGGUGGCAAGCGUUGUCCGGAUUUAUUGGGCGUAAAGCGAGCGCAGGCGGUUCCUUAAGUCUGAUGUGAAAGCCCCCGGCUCAACCGGGGAGGGUCAUUGGAAACUGGGGAACUUGAGUGCAGAAGAGGAGAGUGGAAUUCCAUGUGUAGCGGUGAAAUGCGUAGAUAUAUGGAGGAACACCAGUGGCGAAGCGACUCUCUGGUCUGUAACUGACGCUGAGGCUCGAAAGCGUGGGUAGCAAACAGG